AGGCUUAACACAUGCAAGUCGAGGGGCAGCAUGGUCUUAGCUUGCUAAGGCCGAUGGCGACCGGCGCACGGGUGAGUAACACGUAUCCAACCUGCCGUCUACUCUUGGACAGCCUUCUGAAAGGAAGAUUAAUACAAGAUGGCAUCAUGAGUCCGCAUGUUCACAUGAUUAAAGGUAUUCCGGUAGACGAUGGGGAUGCGUUCCAUUAGAUAGUAGGCGGGGUAACGGCCCACCUAGUCUUCGAUGGAUAGGGGUUCUGAGAGGAAGGUCCCCCACAUUGGAACUGAGACACGGUCCAAACUCCUACGGGAGGCAGCAGUUAGGAAUAUUGGUCAAUGGGCGAGAGCCUGAACCAGCCAAGUAGCGUGAAGGAUGACUGCCCUAUGGGUUGUAAACUUCUUUUAUAAAGGAAUAAAGUCGGGUAUGGAUACCCGUUUGCAUGUACUUUAUGAAUAAGGAUCGGCUAACUCCGUGCCAGCAGCCGCGGUAAUACGGAGGAUCCGAGCGUUAUCCGGAUUUAUUGGGUUUAAAGGGAGCGUAGAUGGAUGUUUAAGUCAGUUGUGAAAGUUUGCGGCUCAACCGUAAAAUUGCAGUUGAUACUGGAUAUCUUGAGUGCAGUUGAGGCAGGCGGAAUUCGUGGUGUAGCGGCGAAAUGCUUAGAUAUCACGAAGAACUCCGAUUGCGAAGGCAGCCUGCUAAGCUGCAACUGACAUUGAGGCUCGAAAGUGUGGGUAUCAAACAGGAUUAGAUACCCUGGUAGUCCACACGGUAAACGAUGAAUACUCGCUGUUUGCGAUAUACUGCAAGCGGCCAAGCGAAAGCGUUAAGUAUUCCACCUGGGGAGUACGCCGGCAACGGUGAAACUCAAAGGAAUUGACGGGGGCCCGCACAAGCGGAGGAACAUGUGGUUUAAUUCGAUGAUACGCGAGGAACCUUACCCGGGCUUAAAUUGCAGAUGAAUUACGGUGAAAGCCGUAAGCCGCAAGGCAUCUGUGAAGGUGCUGCAUGGUUGUCGUCAGCUCGUGCCGUGAGGUGUCGGCUUAAGUGCCAUAACGAGCGCAACCCUUGUUGUCAGUUACUAACAGGUUCCGCUGAGGACUCUGACAAGACUGCCAUCGUAAGAUGUGAGGAAGGUGGGGAUGACGUCAAAUCAGCACGGCCCUUACGUCCGGGGCUACACACGUGUUACAAUGGGGGGUACAGAGGGCCGCUACCACGCGAGUGGAUGCCAAUCCCCAAAACCUCUCUCAGUUCGGACUGGAGUCUGCAACCCGACUCCACGAAGCUGGAUUCGCUAGUAAUCGCGCAUCAGCCACGGCGCGGUGAAUACGUUCCCGGGCCUUGUACACACCGCCCGUCAAGCCAUGGGAGCCGGGGGUACCUGAAGUGCGUAACCGCGAGGAGCGCCCUAGGGUAAAACUGGUGACUGGGGCUAAGUCAU
rnacentral:rRNA from 1 species